GAGGUGUAAAUAUUUUUACAUAUAUCCAUACUAGAGACAACACAACCUUAUUGAACUCACACACAUGUAAUGCAGAGGUGUAAAUAUUUUUACAUAUAUCCAUACAAGAGACUUCUCUCAGACUCCCACAAAUAAUUCAAAACAACGAUACCUGAAAUCUCAUUAUGAUUCUUUUUACUAAAGUUUUGUAGAGGAGACAAGAGCUCUUCAUAAUCAAUGUUUUAUUAUUUAUCAAAUUAUUAUUUUAUUCGCAAGUGGCUUUAAUUUAUAUUAAAAAAAUAAUAAAAGUUGUGAACGAAAUCACCGAAGAAACAAAACAUCAACAUUUUAGAAUUGAGCUUCCAGAUGUUGAUAUUGGUAUUGUUGAUGUUGAAAGAGAGAUAUAGUUGAGGAGUUACAUCCUGGUAGAAACUUGAAAGAGUUAUCAAUUGAUGGUUAUAGGGAUGAAAUAUUCCCCGAUUGGUUAGGCCUUUCUUGCUACUCCAAUAUAACCAAAUUGAGUUUGAGGAGUUUUAAGAAUUGUCGUCAGCUUCCUUCAUUGGGACAGUUACCCGCUCUGCAGCGUCUGGUGGUAUUUAGACUUGAUAGGCGGGAAAGAAUUGGUGGUGAGUUUUACAACAACACUGAAUCAUGUCAUGAGGUUGAGGGGACACCCUUCAGAUCUCUUCCAAGUCUGACAUUUCGUGAAAUGCCUCACUGGCGAGAGUGGCAUAUUCCUCAUGACUUUGAUGGGUUUCCAAAACUUGAAUGGCUUUCAAUAAAAGACUGUCCGGUGUUAAGUGGAGAAACUGAGUCUGAAUGCUGUAUCCCACUGUCUCAAUAGGAAGGCUGAAGCGUGAAUCGUAAUACAUGGAUGAGGCAAGGUCAGAAUUGGGAUGCACUGAAAUGAUGAAAUCCACCAUGGGGGCAAUUAUGCGCUUCGAAGCUAAAACUCAUAUGGGGAGCUCAAGACAGAUCUUUAUCAUCCCAAGUAGGAAAUGAAGGAGCACAAUUCUUUGUAUAAGCAAGGAGAAUAAUGUGGAAGAAUUUUAAGGUUGACUGCAAAAUUGCAAAUGCAGCAUGUUCUUGAUGUGGUUCAGGCUCCAUGAGAAUUUUUUAUUUCUUGAAUCAUUGUUUGAGCAUUUUAGUCAAUUAAAUAGAUUUUGAUACAGGUGCAGUAUCAGAGCAGUUAAAUGUCAACUUGUGAAUAUAUGCCAUAGUUUACAAAUAGUUUUACUAUUCCUAUUGCUUGAUUAACAUCUCUUUCUCAAGUAUGCUUGCAUCAGUAAAUUAAAUUAUUAUAACGAAACUUUUGAGAAACAAGUGUUAGUAUAGUGUUUAAAACUUGAACUAUAAGAUCAAGUCAGCACUAACCAAUAGUUGCAUAAUACUUUUCUAUGUUACAUGCUGUAAAGGAUAGGCGAAUACGAUUUAUAUAUAUAUAUAGAAAAUGUUGCAAAAUUUUAUAUAACCAUAAUUCUGUGCUAUUUCAUUUUUAAUGUGCCAUUUUUUGCUCCACAUUAGCUAUAAUAGUUCAAUUACAUUCAAUACAAUCUAAAGAUACCUUAUUCUCCUAACUCUUACCGCAAGAGUACCUUUCUUCUUUUCUUUCUUUCUUUUUUCCUGCUUCAUUGGAUUUCCAAUUCAAAACCUGUCCUUAGAUUGUAAAUAUGAUUAUUAGUUUUGUAUUAAAUUAGCAUUAAAACUUUCAAACCUGAAGCUUUUCAGUUGCUUCUUGUAGUUCUUUUUCUCUUGUUACAGCAUCAUUAGAAAGUUGUCUUAUUUCCACUUGUAGCCCCAACAACAAAGUAGCAGUUGAAAGCAGCUGAUCGCUCAGUUGCUUUCCGUUCGCCAGCCAAGGACAUUCGAAUAGAGAAACAUAACAAAGGAGGAAGAAUAUAACAUAGAAAAAUAAAGAAAAAGAAUCAAUUAGAAAGUUGAAGUGGCAACAUAUUAUCAAUGAAUUCCUUUGCAAAUCUCACUAGAAGCAAAUAAAUAACAUUACCUUUUCACUCUCAAGUUCUCUCCUUAGUCUUCCUGUUUCUUGUUCAAGUUCUUCUACUUUCUGCUCCACAAAUUAGCGUUUAUGAAGAAUAAUACAACAAAUCAGCUUGCGUCAAUUAAAAAAAUAAAACAAAAUAUCAGAUUGAUUGCCUUUGUUCCAUUCGCAGCGAUCAGCUUCGCCUUGCUUAACUCAGCUUCCAACUGGCGAACCUUAUCAUCAGAGAGAGCUAACUGUUGCCUAACAUUUCCCUGCAA